CCCCCCCCGCCUCCAUUAGAGUUUCACCUCGAAGCCCUUCGAAACCCUAAUCUCUGGUCCCAAGAAGCUCUCCGCCGGUUCUUGCUCGGAUUCCGUUCGGGGGUCUAGGGUUUUUGGGACGGGGUGGAGGAGCUAGGGCGGCCGGUGGAUAUCUGGCCUCCGCCCCUCGAAGAUGGAUAGAGAGGAGUUUAAGGGGACCAGCGAGGCCGGGGGAGCCAGAUUCCACAUCCUUCAGCCCAGUCGCGACCUCCAGUCCAAUUGGGAAGUCGAUCUUGCCAAGAAUCUUGAAGAGUAUUUGCUCAAGAUUUGUUCUGGCGAGAUCUCGUCCGACCAGGACCAUGUGCUCCACUCCGUGAACUUUGCUGAAGCUGCACUGCCGCUUCAAGGUUCGGUUCACGUGUAUAGCCGGAAAGUAGAGUAUUUGUAUUCUCUGGUUUUGCAUGCCUUGGAGUUUCUUUGACAGAAGAGCUGGUCAUGUUUGGGUUUGGAGGAACUAAAAUGACAGAGAAGGGACAGAAGAGAAGCAAAAACUACAUGUAUAAUCUGGUGGUGAAGUUAAGGGCUCGGGUCACGUGGCACAAUUUUAUCAGAUGAUUCAAGUCCUCAUUCAAUUACUUGGAGUGUUAAUGGAGCAUACUAAAACAUCAAAACUAUCAUAUAGUCCAAAUUUGUUUGUGUAUUAGGUGUGAAUUUAUUUAGUAUUUUUUUUAGCGUCCCAUAAUUUACUUAGUCCUUAAGGAACUUGGACCUUUAUUGACUUGGCCAUGAAGUCACUUUACCUACAAGUUACUUGAGCCCUAAGUUUUCGUAAAAUAUAUAUGAUUAGUUGGUUAACAAAGUUGGCUAUAUAUAUAUAUAU